CACAUAUAUAGAUCACACCGAUUGAUUGUCUACAUUCGCUUCAUCAUCAUUUCAAAAGGGUUAGGGUUGGUUCUCUCUCUACUCCGGCGAAAAAUGCCGCCUCAAUCUUCAGGUUUAUUUGGAAGUAUUGGUGAUGGCAUGAGUGGAGUC